UGCGGACCACAAAAUCCUGCAUUCGUAGGAAUUUCUCACAAAUGAUUACUUUCAGCCACCACGUUAAUUCCUACACAAACUUUCAUGUAGAUGACAAUAACUUCCGGCACGUAAAUGAAACAAUCUUUUGCAUCUUAUGACAAAUUCAUUUCAUUCCCUGAACAUUCUAAAUUAUGCAAAAUGAAAUUUUUUGUUCUUGGUGGUGGAAUGUGUCUCGCACAUCUUCCUUCAACAUCAAAAUGUUCAAAUUAUUACGGAUUCCAUCGGAAUUUUUGCUUAAAAAGCAGGUCUCAUGGAGAUCAAAAUGGAUAAAAUUAUGCUUUGGUUCUAUAUAGUGAACAAAAUCAAUUCAAGUCAACAAAAUAAUAGCACCUAAUCAGAAUUGUUGUUAACCUCUAAUAUUCAGAGUAGGGAGAAACUGCCACCUGACCUCAUCUUCAAAUUCUUUUUUCUUUUUUGGGUAGUGGUGGUAGGGGAAAGGGGCAGGAGAAGGGGGUUGGACAAGUAACAUGCCCUCCUAUUGUGUUGAAAUAAGAACGUGAAGAAAGGCAGGGAGAAAACUGACCUGAACAGGAAGGUUGUGCUUUG
rnacentral:misc_RNA from 1 species